AGUGAACGCUGGCGGUAGGCCUAACACAUGCAAGUCGAACGGCAGCACAGUAAGAGCUUGCUCUUACGGGUGGCGAGUGGCGGACGGGUGAGGAAUACAUCGUAAUCUACUUUUUCGUGGGGGAUAACGUAGGGAAACUUACUCUAAUACCGCAUACGACCUACGGGUGAAAGCAGGGGAUCUUCGGACCUUGCGCGAUUGAAUGAGCCGAUGUCGGAUUAGCUAGUUGGCGGGGUAAAGGCCAACCAAGGCGACGAUCCGUAGCUGAUCUGAGAGGAUGAUCAGCCACACUGGAACUGAGACACGGUCCAGACGCCUACGGGAGGCAGCAGUGGGGAAUAUUGGACAAUGGGGGCAAGCCUGAUCCAGCCAUACCGCGUGGGUGAAGAAGGCCUUCGGGUUGUAAAGCCCUUUUGUUGGGAAAGAAAAGCAGCAGGUUAAUACCCCGCUGUUCUGACGGUACCCAAAGAAUAAGCACCGGCUAACUUCGUG
rnacentral:rRNA from 1 species